rnacentral:rRNA from 1 species
ACAGUGAACGCUGGCGGCGUGGCUAAGGCAUGCAAGUCGCACGGGGCUGUAAAGCCCAGUGGCGCAAGGGUGAGUAAUGGAUAGCUAACGUACCUUCAACCAGGGCAUAGCCAGUCGAAAGAUUGGGUAAUUCCCUAUAAUGUCAUCAGUCAGCAUUGUCAGAUGACCAAAGAUGAGGAUCGCAAGACUUAUCGGUUUUAGAGCGGGCUAUCUCCUAUCAGUUAGUUGGCGGGGUAAUGGCCCACCAAGACUGUGAUCGGUA